rnacentral:rRNA from 1 species
GGGAACGUACCCUUAUCUUCGGAAUAGCUCCGGGAAACUGGAAUUAAUACCGAAUGCGCCCUUUGGGGGAAAGAUUUAUCGGAUAAGGAUCGGCCCGCGUUGGAUUAGCUAGUUGGUGGGGUAAAGGCCUACCAAGGCGACGAUCCAUAGCUGGUCUGAGAGGAUGAUCAGCCUCAUUGGGACUGAGACACGGCCCAAACUCCUACGGGAGGCAGCAGUGGGGAAUAUUGGACAAUGGGCGCAAGCCUGAUCCAGCCAUGCCGCGUGAGUGAUGAAGGCCUUAGGGUUGUAAAGCUCUUUCACCGGAGAAGAUAAUGACGGUAUCCGGAGAAGAAGCCCCGGCUAACUUCGUGCCAGCAGCCGCGGUAAUACGAAGGGGGCUAGCGUUGUUCGGAAUUACUGGGCGUAAAGCGCACGUAGGCGGACAUUUAAGUCAGAGGUGAAAUCCCGGAGCUCAACUUCGGAACUGCCUUUGAUACUGGGUGUCUUGAGUAUGGAAGAGGUUAGUGGAAUUGCGAGU